GAUGAACGCUGGCGGCGUGCCUAAUACAUGCAAGUCGAGCGAACAGACGAGGAGCUUGCUCCUCUGACGUUAGCGGCGGACGGGUGAGUAACACGUGGAUAACCUACCUAUAAGACUGGGAUAACUUCGGGAAACCGGAGCUAAUACCGGAUAAUAUAUUGAACCGCAUGGUUCAAUAGUGAAAGACGGUUUUGCUGUCACUUAUAGAUGGAUCCGCGCCGCAUUAGCUAGUUGGUAAGGUAACGGCUUACCAAGGCGACGAUGCGUAGCCGACCUGAGAGGGUGAUAGGCCACACUAGAACUGAGACACGGUCCAGACUCCUACGGGAGGCAGCAGUAGGGAAUCUUCCGCAAUGGGCGAAAGCCUGACGGAGCAACGCCGCGUGAGUGAUGAAGGUCUUCGGAUCGUAAAACUCUGUUAUUAGGGAAGAACAAAUGUGUAAGUAACUAUGCACGUCUUGACGGUACCUGAUCAGAAAGCCACGGCUAACUACGUG
rnacentral:rRNA from 1 species